CACGCCCUACGGGAGGCAGCAGUGAGGAAUAUUGGUCAAUGGGAGAGAUCCUGAACCAGCCAAGCCGCGUGAGGGAAGACGGCCCUAUGGGUUGUAAACCUCUUUUGUCGGAGAACAAAACCCGGGACGUGUCCCGGACUGCGUGUAUCCGAAGCAAAAGCAUCGGCUAACUCCGUGCCAGCAGCCGCGGUAAUACGGAGGAUGCGAGCGGUAUCCGGAUUUAUUGGGUUUAAAGGGUGCGUAGGCGGUCCGUUAAGGCAGCGGUGAAAAUGCGGGGGU
rnacentral:rRNA from 1 species